rnacentral:rRNA from 1 species
UCGCCUGUUUAUCAAAAACAUGGUUUUUUGUUUAUAUAAAAAAUCUGGCCUGCCCAAUGAUAUAUUUUUUUAAUGGCUGCAGUAUUUUGACUGUACAAAGGUAGCAUAAUCAUUUGUCUUUUAAUUGAAGUCUGGAAUGAAUGGUUGGAUGAGAAAUUUACUUUCUUUAUUUUAUAUAAAAUAAAUUUAUUUUUAAGUUAAAAAGCUUAAAUAGUAUUAAAGGACGAGAAGACCCUAUAGAACUUUAUUAAUUGUUUAUAUAUUUUAUUUUGUUUAUAUCUAAUAUUUAUAAUAUUAAUUAAUUUGGUUGGGGUGACAAAAAAAAUCUAAUAACUUUUUUUAUUUAUUUCAUUUAUUCAUGAAUUGUUGAUCCUUUUUUAGGGAAAAAAGAUUAAGUUACCUUAGGGAUAACAGCGUUAUUAUUUUUGAGAGUUCUUAUUGAUAAAAUAGUUUGCGACCUCGAUGUUGGAUUAAAAUAAGUUUCAGGAGUAUAAGAUUGAAUACUAGGUCUGUUCGACCUUUAAAUUUUUACAUGAUCUGAGUUCAAACCGGAGA